AUACGGAGGGUGCGAGCGUUAAUCGGAAUUACUGGGCGUAAAGCGUACGUGGGCGGUUGGUUAAGUUAGAUGUGAAAGCCCCGGGCUUAACCUGGGAACUGCAUUUAAAACUGGCGAACUAGAGUUGAGUAGAGGGGAGUGGAAUUUCAGGUGUAGCGGUGAAAUGCGUAGAGAUCUGAAGGAACACCAGUGGCGAAGGCGACUCCCUGGACUCGAACUGACGCUGAGGUACGAAAGCGUGGGUAGCAAACGGGAUUAGAAACCCUAGUAGUCC
rnacentral:rRNA from 1 species